rnacentral:rRNA from 1 species
GGGGGACGGAGAAGGCUAUGUUGGCCGGGCGACGGUUGUCCCGGUUUAAGCGUGUAGGUGUGUGUUCCAGGAAAAUCCGGUUCACUUUAACACUGAGGCGUGACGACGAGGCACUACGGUGCUGAAGCAACAAAUGCCCUGCUUCCAGGAAAAGCCUCUAAGCCUCAGGUAACAUCAGAUCGUACCCGAAACCGACACAGGUGGUCAGGUAGAGAAUACCAAGGCGCUUGAGAGAACCCGGGUGAAGGAACUAGGCAAAAUGGUGCCGUAACUUCGGGAGAAGGCACGCUGACACGUAGGUGAAGCGGUUUACCCGUGGAGCUGAAGUCAGUCGAAGAUACCAGCUGGCUGCAACUGUUUAUUAAAAACACAGCACUGUGCAAACACGAAAGUGGACGUAUACGGUGUGACGCCUGCCCGGUGCCGGAAGGUUAAUUGAUGGGGUCAGCGCAAGCGAAGCUCCUGAUCGAAGCCCCGGUAAACGGCGGCCGUAACUAUAACGGUCCUAAGGUAGCGAAAUUCCUUGUCGGGUAAGUUCCGACCUGCACGAAUGGCGUAAUGAUGGCCAGGCUGUCUCCACCCGGGACUCAGUGAAAUUGAACUCGCUGUGAAGAUGCAGUGUACCCGCGGCAAGACGGAAAGACCCCGUGAACCUUUACUAUAGCUUGACACUGAACACUGGUCCUUGAUGUGCAGGAUAGGUGGGAGGCUUUGAAGUGUGGACGCCAGUCUGCAUGGAGCCGUCCUUGAAAUACCACCCUUUAAUGGCUGGUGUUCUAACGUAGACCCGUGAACCGGGUUGCGGACAGUGUCUGGUGGGUAGUUUGACUGGGGCGGUCUCCUCCUAAAGCGUAACGGAGGAGCACGAAGGUUGGCUAAUCCUGGUCGGACAUCAGGAGGUUAGUGCAAUGGCAUAAGCCAGCUUGACUGCGAGCGUGACGGCGCGAGCAGGUGCGAAAGCAGGUCAUAGUGAUCCGGUGGUUCUGAAUGGAAGGGCCAUCGCUCAACGGAUAAAAGGUACUCCGGGGAUAACAGGCUGAUACCGCCCAAGAGUUCAUAUCGACGGCGGUGUUUGGCACCUCGAUGUCGGCUCAUCACAUCCUGGGGCUGAAGUAGGUCCCAAGGGUAUGGCUGUUCGCCAUUUAAAGUGGUACGCGAGCUGGGUUUAGAACGUCGUGAGACAGUUCGGUCCCUAUCUGCCGUGGGCGCUGGAGAACUGAGGGGGGCUGCUCCUAGUACGAGAGGACCGGAGUGGACGCAUCACUGGUGUUCGGGUUGUCAUGCCAAUGGCACU